CCUACGGGGGGCAGCAGUGAGGAAUAUUGGUCAAUGGGCGCAAGCCUGAACCAGCCAAGUCGCGUGAAGGAUGACGGAUCUAUGGUUUGUAAACUUCUUUUAUACGGGAAUAAAGUGCAGUACGUGUACUGUUUUGUAUGUACCGUUUUGAAUAAGCAUCGGCUAACUCCGUGCCAGCAGCCGCGGUAAUACGGAGGAUGCGAGCGUUAUCCGGAUUUAUUGGGUUUAAAGGGUGCGUAGGUGGUAGAUUAAGUCAGCGGUGAAAGUUUGUCGCUCAACGAUAAAAUUGCCGUUGAAACUGGUUUACUUGAGUAUAGUUGAAGUAGGCGGAAUGCGUGGUGUAGCGGUGAAAUGCUUAGAUAUCACGCAGAACUCCGAUUGCGAAGGCAGCUUACUAAGUUAUAACUGACACUGAAGCACGAAAGCGUGGGUAUCAAACAGGAUUAGAUACCCCAGUAGUC
rnacentral:rRNA from 1 species